UACGGAGGGUGCAAGCGUUAUCCGGAUUCAUUGGGUUUAAAGGGUCCGUAGGCGGAUCUGUAAGUCAGUGGUGAAAUCUCACAGCUUAACUGUGAAACUGCCAUUGAUACUGCAGGUCUUGAGUGUUAUUGAAGUAGCUGGAAUAAGUAGUGUAGCGGUGAAAUGCAUAGAUAUUACUUAGAACACCAAUUGCGAAGGCAGGUUACUAAGCAACAACUGACGCUGAUGGACGAAAGCGUGGGGAGCGAACAGG
rnacentral:rRNA from 1 species